rnacentral:rRNA from 1 species
CUACGGGACGCUGCAGCGAGGAAUAUUGCACAAUGGGGGGAACCCUGAUGCAGCAACGCCGCGUGGAGGAUGACGCAUUUCGGUGUGUAAACUCCUUUUAUAUGUCAAGAAAAUGACGGUAGCAUAUGAAUAAGCACCGGCUAACUCCGUGCCAGCAGCCGCGGUAAUACGGAGGGUGCAAGCGUUACUCGGAAUCACUGGGCGUAAAGGACGCGUAGGCGGGUUGGAAAGUCAGGUGUGAAAUCCUACAGCUUAACUGUAGAACUGCACUUGAAACUUCUAAUCUAGAGUAUGGGAGGGUGAGAUGGAAUUAGUGGUGUAGGGGUAAAAUCCGUAGAUAUCACUAGGAAUACCUAAAGCGAAGGCGAUCUCCUGGAACAUUACUGACGCUAAGGCGUGAAAGCGUGGGGAGCAAACAGGAUUAGAUACCCCUGUAGUC